rnacentral:tRNA from 1 species
GUUCUUGUAGUUGAAUACAACAGUGGUUUUUCAAGCCUCAGGUCCGGGUUAGAGCCCUGGCAGGAAUU